rnacentral:misc_RNA from 1 species
GCAAACUUGGUCAUUUAGAGGAAGUAAAAGUCGUAACAAGGUUUCCGUAGGUGAACCUGCGGAAGGAUCAUUACAAUACGUCUUUACAACGUAUAAACCUCAAAAGUUGAAUUGUUUUGUAAUUGCGUCCGAUAGGUUUUUGAGAUUUUUCUCUUAACCUAGUUCGCGUAUUUUUCUCAAUUAUAUUUUUAACCCAUUUCACCCAAUGAAUAAACAUUGAACUGAAAAAAGAGUUUUUCGAUUGCGAAAGCGAUUGGAAAAUUAUUGUGAUUACGAAAUGUAAGAACAACUCUUAACAACGGAUAUCUUGGCUCUCGUACCGAUGAAGAACGCAGC